rnacentral:lncRNA from 1 species
GCUGGAAGGAAAGGGGCUUGACAUCGCUAAUCUUUAUGAAGACUAGGAGGAGAGACUUUGGCAGAGAGUCGAAGUGGUCGUUGUCUAUGAGCAAUGGUUCUGGAUACACUCUCAAGGAGGUGAUAUAUGGGCCAAUGGACGCCAUCUUUCUUACGGGUUUGUUUAUUGGUGUGGCUCUGAUUAAAAUGAAGGCUUUUUAUCACAAAUGGUCCUUUACGUUUAUAAAAUUAUUAUGAAUCGUCCUUCAGGUUUUUUUGUGACACUAAUAGUCCUUUAGGUUAUCAUCCACCCAUCAAAAUAGUCCUUAUGUUAGUUUCUGUUAAAACUGAAGUUAAACUCACGUGCUCAUCCUGCUUUUUGAAAUAUAAUCUCAUCAUUCCACUCAACCUUCGACCAAACCCAACUGUUAGAACCCUUUCCCUCCAUUUCCUCAUGGUCCUUCCAUUUUGGCGCCCCUGUAGGAUAUAACCAACCAAAAAAAGUAAACUUUUGAAGAAAUUGAAACAAUCCAAGCUCAAGAGAAAGACCAACAAUGGAGAACUCCAGAGAAAGACCAAACUCAUGGAUCAAUUUGAAAAAUAGAAGUCCUGCAAAUUCAUUAUUCAUGGCACAUCAAAUACAGAGUCCUCAAAAAACCAUUGAACCACAUCAAUACUCAAAAAACCAGUGCACCACAUCGAAGACAUCAAUCUUGAGCAAGUCCUAACACAAUAUAUCAAAAUGAACUUCCCAAAUCCUAACACAAAACAUCGAAAUGAACUUCCCAUACAAUACAUCAAAAUGAACUUCCAAGUCCU